GACGAACGCUGGCGGCGUGCCUAAUACAUGCAAGUAGAACGCACAGUUUAUACCGUAGCUUGCUACACCAUAAACUGUGAGUUGCGAACGGGUGAGUAACGCGUAGGUAACCUGCCUGGUAGCGGGGGAUAACUAUUGGAAACGAUAGCUAAUACCGCAUAAUAUUGAUUAUUGCAUGAUAAUUGAUUGAAAGAUGCUAUUGCAUCACUACCAGAUGGACCUGCGUUGUAUUAGCUAGUAGGUGAGGUAACGGCUCACCUAGGCGACGAUACAUAGCCGACCUGAGAGGGUGAACGGCCACACUGGGACUGAGACACGGCCCAGACUCCUACGGGAGGCAGCAGUAGGGAAUCUUCGGCAAUAGAAGAAAGUCUGACCGAGCAACGCCGCGUGAGUGAAGAAGGUUGUCGGAUCGUAAAGCUCGGUUGUAAGAGAAGAACGGGUGUGAGAGUGGAAAGUUCACACUGUGACGGUACCUAACCAGAAAGGGACGGCUAACUACGUG
rnacentral:rRNA from 1 species